GACGAACGCUGGCGGCGUGCUUAACACAUGCAAGUCGAACGGAAAGGCCCCUUCGGGGGUACUCGAGUGGCGAACGGGUGAGUAACACGUGGGUGAUCUGCCCUGAACUCUGGGAUAAGCCUGGGAAACUGGGUCUAAUACCGGAUAUGACUACUGAUCGCAUGGUUGGUGGUGGAAAGCUUUUGCGGUUUGGGAUGGGCCCGCGGCCUAUCAGCUUGUUGGUGGGGUAAUGGCCUACCAAGGCGACGACGGGUAGCCGACCUGAGAGGGUGAUCGGCCACACUGGGACUGAGACACGGCCCAGACUCCUACGGGAGGCAGCAGUGGGGAAUAUUGCACAAUGGGCGCAAGCCUGAUGCAGCGACGCCGCGUGAGGGAUGACGGCCUUCGGGUUGUAAACCUCUUUCGCCAGGGACGAAGCGUAAGUGACGGUACC
rnacentral:rRNA from 1 species